UGGGGAAUUUUGGACAAUGGGCGAAAGCCUGAUCCAGCAAUGCCGCGUGUGUGAAGAAGGCCUUCGGGUUGUAAAGCACUUUUGUCCGGAAAGAAAUCCUUGGCUCUAAUACAGUCGGGGGAUGACGGUACCGGAAGAAUAAGCACCGGCUAACUACGUGCCAGCAGCCGCGGUAAUACGUAGGGUGCAAGCGUUAAUCGGAAUUACUGGGCGUAAAGCGUGCGCAGGCGGUUUGCUAAGACCGAUGUGAAAUCCCCGGGCUCAACCUGGGAACUGCAUUGGUGACUGGCAGGCUAGAGUAUGGCAGAGGGGGGUAGAAUUCCACGUGUAGCAGUGAAAUGCGUAGAGAUGUGGAGGAAUACCGAUGGCGAAGGCAGCCCCCUGGGCCAAUACUGACGCUCAUGCACGAAAGCGUGGGGAGCAAACAGGAUUAGAUACCCUGGUAGUCCACGCCCCUAAACGAUGUCAACUAGUUGUUGGGGGAUUCAUUUCCUUAGUAACGUAGCUAACGCGUGAAGUUGACCGCCUGGGGAGUACGGUCGCAAGAUUAAAACUCAAAGGAAUUGACGGGGUCAUAGCUGUUU
rnacentral:rRNA from 1 species